rnacentral:rRNA from 1 species
GACGAACGCUGGCGGCGUGCUUAACACAUGCAAGUCGAACGAGAAAGCCCUUCGGGGUAAGUACAGUGGCGAACGGGUGAGUAACACGUGGGCAACCUGCCCCAGAGAGCGGGACAACCCGGGGAAACCCGGGCUAAUACCGCAUGAUGCGUCUCCACUUAAGUGGAGCCGCCAAAUGGUAGCUUCGGCCUCCGCUCUGGGAUGGGCCCGCGCCGGAUUAGCUAGUUGGUUGGGGUAACGGCCCACCAAGGCGACGAUCCGUAGCUGGUCUGAGAGGACGAUCAGCCACACGGGGACUGGGAAACGGCCCGGACUCCUACGGGAGGCAGCGGUGGGGAAUCUUGCGCAAUGGGCGAAAGCCUGACGCAGCAACGCCGCGUGGGGGAAGAAGGCCUUCGGGUUGUAAACCUCUUUCAGUAGGGACGAAGCUUCCGGGGUUAAUAGCCUACGGGGUGACGGUACCUACAGAAGAAGCCCCGGCUAACUACGUGCCAGCCGCCGCCGUAA